GAACUGGUCCGCAAAUGCCUUGCUCGCACUGAGCAACUGCGAACAGGGGCGAUUCUUUUAUUACACGUGUGUGAAUAACGUAAAUAGUUCUGUGCAAAAAUGCAGAUUUUUAUCGUUCUCUCUUUUGCAGAAAUUUUCUUUCUUGCUUGUAAAUUAUGCUAUCCCGUUAAUUAAUUUGUAAUAUGAGCAUAAUUUAUUGAAAUUUUUAUUUAUGUAAAACGGGUUUUAUUUUAAUUUGGUGAUAAGUUGGGGGAACUUGGAUUGCCGGUUGUAUCCAUCUCGCUCAUGAAUCCUUUUCUGCCAUUUGGUUCGGUACUAGAUUUACUGGGGUUCAUGCUCGUCUUUUGAAUAAACAUUUAGUGUUUUUUAUGGACAUGGUUCUUUUGAUUCAUGUCGUCGUCGUCGUUAUUAAUAUUUUUGAGGUGACCUUUAAAAUUUGUAUCAAUUUUGUGUUUUUUUAGGUGCAAUGGGCUUUGUUUUUUUCACUUCUUCAGCAGUGUUAUUUAUUUUCUCCUUUUGGGAAUCAUUCCAUUGUUAUUUGUUCCUAAAACUGUGUCAAAGACAAAUUUUUAGAUGAACAUAUCUUUCUCCCAUCUAACUGCUCAAGUUUUUAGAUCAAAAUAUCUUGAGUUAAGUCUCCCCAUUGACAAAAAUUGUACACGUAUUAGACGUUCGAUCCAAAAGCUAAUCCGGUCUACAUGUGAGGAGGCUUGUUGAAGACAAUAUUUGAAUUAAUAUACAUGGCCCUUCUUUAACAACUUAUGCCAUUAGACACGGUGGCUCAACAUUUUCUAUUGAGGAUGCCAUGUACUUACAGAAUAUAACAAGGCCUUUAGCAGUUUACCUGUAUCUGUAAUUCAGUUUAGCUGCUUCAACAUACUUUAAUUGCCUUUUCCUUUGUUUAUUUAAACUCAUUUUCUGCUGCUUUUUCUGUGUUUAUUGAGGAACAGGUGCUAGUUAACAGCCUUCUUAUCUUUCAGAUGUCCUAUAUCCACAUGUAUUUAGGGGCUCCAUUUUCUUGUAAUAUAAAUAUGCAGGCUACUAGACAUGCAGAGGUGGAAACAAUUGAUGUGCUACUUGAGCAGUGGAAGUAAGUUGGACAUUCAGGGGAAGAAGCUGCUUUGAAAUUCUCAAGAUGCACUCUUUAUGUUACAUGUGAGCGAUGCAUAAUGUGUGGAGCUGCUUUAUCGGUUAUUGGUAUGCUCAAGAAAGUUUAUUUGAAUAUAUUGUCGAGUUUGAUUGUUAUCUUUAAGAGAAGUGACCAUCUUAUGAUCUAUUAGGUAUCGAAGAAGUAUACCAUGGCUGUGCAGAUGAUAAAUUUGGUGGGGUGGGGAGCAAUAUUGUCGUUGCAUACAAAAAUCUCUGAAAAGCUCAAAUGUAUUGGAGGGAAUAAUGGCAUCUGAUGCUGUCAAUCUUCUAAGAAGCUUCUAUGAGCAAAGAAAUCCCAAUGGUAUGAAUAUAUUAUAAUUUUUAAUGACUGCAAUUUAACAAUUUUUGAACCUCAGAUUUCUCCUUAAAUUAGGAGAAAGAUUAACAUGGAAAAGGAAAAUACAACACUAGUGUCUCCACUGAAUGAAUUCAAUAGUUCAUUUCUUAAUCAUUUUUUAAAAGCAUUAUUUUUUAUGGGCACUCAAGAACCUUUGUUUUACUGGAGAGAUCAUGUAUUCUCCUAAAGAAUCAUCGUAAACAAGUUGAGUUCUAUCUCCACCCUCAUAUUUCCCAACAUAACACAUUAAUCAGCUUUAUGUUGGGAGAGAGUGAGUAAACUUGAUCAUAGCAUUUCCAUCUUUCAAAUCAAUAAUCAUUGGAUAUAUCCCUUAACUUUUAAUUGGUUAUGAUUAGAAGAAAAAAUAAAUUUUGGAGCGACUGUAAAAUAUCAGUAAUCUGAAGAAAUUGUAUUAAAAUUUUAAUAAAAAUAAAUAAGUUAUACAGAACCUUAAAAAGGGAGUUCAUUAACAAACAGCAGAUUACAGAUACAUCAGCUUCCUCGCUUGCUGAAGAAUGACAAGAAAAAGGAAGAGGGUGGGGGUGGGAACUAACCUUCCUGUGUCUAAUUCAUUGACAAGAGAAGGCAUUCUAAGCCUGUGAUGUUAAGCCCCUGUUUGACACCCAUUUUUUCAAAACUUAAUUUUUAUCCACAUGUUCUCCCAUAAAAUAAUUUUAUAUAUAAAUUCAAAACUUGUACUUAUUUUUAACUGCCUUAUUUUUAACUGCAUAUUCUUUAAAAAAUAACUAUUCAAAAAUACAUUCCCCAAAAAUAGGGGUCAAACUGGGGGGCCAAAUGUCCGAUAACCUUUAAACAUCCAAAGUAAUUAAUAAAGCUGCUACAUUGUUAUUGAUUAGGUGCCAAUGCUUGAAGUUCUUUGUUCCUUCCACUCCAAAGAAAUUACAGAUUUAAGUCUCCAGUCAAUUGUAAUAUUUUAUAUAAUAAAAAUUGAAAAUUUGUUUUUCUGUUCAUACUUGCCAUCUGAGUGAUUACUGUCUUUAGUUGUUCCUGAAGCCUCAGAAUGUCAAAGCAAUGGGUGUAAAAGGUUGUAUACUAAGUUGAAGAGGUACACUGGUGGUUAUUUCUUAUAAUAUGUAGCAAUAUUAUCUUGGGUUUAUUGCUGCCUCCUAUUUUAGAGAGAAAAAAGCGUGUUUGUACUUUCUACACUUGCUGUUGCAUAGAAGCAUCCAGGUGACAAGUUUGAUGCAGGGGGGGUUUUCAUUUUUAAGAUGCUUUGAUAUGGCAAUGGGAAAAGUGGUUAUUAUGAUCAUAUAAUGUGAUUCAUAUAUGAAUCUCUCUUCAUUGCAUGCUUGUCCUAAUCUCAUAAAUUAUCUUUGCUCCAAAAAACAAACAAAUAAAUAAAUAAAUAAAAAUAAAAAAUCAAUGUGCUUUGCAUAUGCAUCACUUUCUUGGAAUUAGUUCACUGUACUUCCAUAAUUCCCUACCUUUUGAUCUAUAUUAUAUUCAGAGUUUUUCAUUGCGACCCUCAAAAGAGACAAAUCCAGGAGCUAGAUUAGCUGACCAGCUGACUCGAAAAAUCUGAUUUCUCAGAAUNACGUGAUUCAUAUAUGAAUCUCUCUUCAUUGCAUGCUUGUCCUAAUCUCAUAAAUUAUCUUUGCUCCAAAAAACAAACAAAUAAAUAAAAAAAUAAAAAUGAAAAAUCAAUGUGCUUUGCAUAUGCCAUCACUUUCUUGGAAUUAGUUCACUGUACUUACCAUAAUUCCCUACCUCUUGAUAUAUAUUAUAUUCAGAGUUUUUCAUUGCGACCCUCAAAAGNNNNNNNNNNNNNNNNNNNNNNNNNNNNACAAAUCCAGGAGCUAGAUUAGCUGACCAGCUGACUCGAAAAAUCUGAUUUCUCAGAAUAUUAGGAUAGUUUUGCUGGAAAAAAUUUAUAGAUGGAAAUUAUCGAUUAAUGCUUGACCUCGGACGUAUCACUUGAACUCUAAUAUCAACACCAAGUUUCAAAUCACUUAGAUACACAUGUCCUAUUUUCUGUUAUGCAAUUAUAUGCAUGUACUGAUAGUUUUAGCUCUUCGAAAUUAGUCACUCUUAGGCAUGUCCUGGCACGGUUCACAUUAAUUAUGUCGAACAAUAUUGUUAUUGUUACACCAUAAGGUCACAAGUGAUGCUAGUAAUAUAAUUUUGCUCCUAGAGCAAUCUACAAUUGAUAUAACAUUUAUGAUUUACAAAUACAUUAAUAUACCUUAUCUAGCUUGUGAAUUUUAUUGAACUUUUCUUGUCUUUAAACUCCUCAUUUCUCCUUGUUGAUGUUGAUGUAAAAUUGCUCGUGUUGGAAUCCACCUGAGUCAUAUGCAUGGCUGCUCCUUGUGCACAAGUCUAUUAAAAUCGACAUAUUUAGCUGAUUGAAUCAUCUGUUAUUCAGGUACUAUGAUGGAGAACAUAACCUGUUCCUAAACUCUUAAUCUCUAAAGGAUUAAAUCAGAGUGCCCUUCAGCCUGCUCAUGUCCUUGUACUAGCUGGCCAGUUUAGGCAUAACCUGAGAGCCUUCCCUUAUUUUGAAGAUAAUGCAGUCCGGUGAAGGUACUCCUGGCACAAAGCUUCCUUACAAUCGAAGAACGUUGUUGAUUUAGUUUGAAUGUCAAUCUUUGGAGAUUGCUUUCGCUUAAAUGUACUUUGGGCACAAAGCUUCCUAGCAUAGAAGAACUUUGUUGAUUUAGUUGAAUGUUGGUCUCAGAUUAGAUGAUGUGGACGGCAAUACUUGUACUACAACAACAACAAACUAACAUUGUUCUUAGCAAAUUUGGGAUUAGCUACAUGGAUUUCUUUUGCCAUUGUUUUCGGGAUGGCAAUAAUUGUACAUCGGAGUUAUUUUCACUUCUCAGGGUGUAAACUGAAAUGGUGUCUUGUGGAAAUCUUCCUUCGCUUCUCUUUGAUAUUCAAUUCCAAAAUAGUAGUAGUUUUUUAGUUGAGUAUUUUGAGGAUGUUUGUUUAUGCCAUCAUUUGUUGAAUGUGCCAAAGCUGGGAACCUGAUAAGAGGAUUUGACAGCACUGUUGAUG
rnacentral:lncRNA from 1 species